GUGAGGAAUAUUGGUCAAUGGACGGAAGUCUGAACCAGCCAUGCCGCGUGGAGGAAGAAGGUCCUAUGGGUUGUAAACUCCUUUUGUUCCGGAGUAAUAAGUGCCUUGCGAGGCGCGAUGAGAGUACGGGACGAAUAAGCAUCGGCUAACUCCGUGCCAGCAGCCGCGGUAAUACGGAGGAUGCAAGCGUUAUCCGGAUUUAUUGGGUUUAAAGGGUGCGCAGGCGGACUGUUAAGUCAGCGGUGAAAUGUCCCGGCUCAACCGGGGCCCUGCCGUUGAUACUGGCAGACUAGAGUACGGACGGCGCCGGCGGAAUGUGUCAUGUAGCGGUGAAAUGCUUAGAUAUGCCACAGAACACCGAUCGCGAAGGCAGCUGGCGAGGCCGGUACUGACGCUCAGGCACGAAAGCGUGGGGAUCAAACAGGAUUAGAAACCCUAGUAGUCC
rnacentral:rRNA from 1 species